rnacentral:lncRNA from 1 species
GAUGGAGGAGGGGAAGUCAUAGCUGGAGGAGACGUGUGUUAGGAAGCUACAAUGGCAGCUCCCUAGUGGAGGUGUUUCGGAAAAACUCCGAAGAUUCCACUUGAGAAAAUCAUCGGCCUUCAGACAACGUCUAUGCCAGAUAAUGCUACCAAAUCACAACCUUGCCUUUCCUCCCUACUGCUGUUCUGAUGUGGGAGGACCCAAAGGCAGCAGAAGAGCCAAAGAAGAGUAGCAGAAAGGCAUAUCCACAGCUCUUCAAAUAAGCAAUGUGAUGUUAGCAAAAGUGCAGGGGCUCCUUGAGAACUUUCCAGGGCUAACCAGCUGCUGAGGAGUGGCCUCCAGGAAAGAGAGAAGCACUCUGAUUCAGGCAGUGAUUUACACCUAAAAUACCAACUCCAUCAUAUCUUCAGAACAAUUCUUCUAGACCUUGCAUCUAAAUAUGGAGUCAUUAACUAACAACGAACAAAACCUCUGGAUGGCCGAAGGACCUAGGCUAUACAGAAAGCUGUGAAUUACCAAUGAGAACGCAGCACUGCUGCUGUACUGAGAAUACAGCUGUGAACAACAUCCCUGUCGCUUUCGUUCUAGAGAGGAAAAACAGGUAUGUUCAUUUCUUAUGGCUGCUGCAACAGAUUACGGCAAACUGGGUGGCUUCUAACAAUGGAAAUGUAUUCUCUUAUGGUUCUGAAGACCAGAAGCCCCAAAUCAAGAUGGCCCCAGUGCAGCACUCCCUCUGAAGGCGCUAGAGAAUUUGCUUCUGGCCUCUUUCAGCUUCUGGUAGCUGUCAGCAUUCCCUGACUGUGGGCCCGUCACUGUACUCUGUUCCCAUGGGCACAUUGCUUCCUCCUCUUAUGCCUGUGUUCUCUCCCUU